UUCUGUCUGAAAGGCUCAAGAAAAUGCACUUUUAAGGCUCUUGCCUGAGAACAGAAGGCUUGUUUGGAAGUGCAUAUUCUCGCCCACUAAGUUUUCAGUCUAUUGGGUAUGGGUUUUCAAAGGAUGAGACGUCCUUGCAAUCGGGCACAACAAUUUCUAGUGUGACUCGUUCCAAGACUGGUCAUCUUACAAGAGGCCAGAGGACACAGAGGAGAGAUACCUGGCCUGUUUGGAUGAGGAAACCAUCUCAGAGAUGACCUAUGACAGGCUCCCGGUCACACAGCAAGAAUAACAAAGCUGGGCUCCAAACGCAGUCCUGGCUGGCUCCAAGAGCUCCCCUCCCCACCCUCAGCACAUCUAGGUCAACGGACUCAUCUAACCAGUAGGGAAACUGAGGUCCAAGUAGUCAUUUCAGCUCUCUGGGCCUCAGUUUCUUGUCUGCGUAAAACGGAGGUGAUAAGACUCACAAGGCUGUCGAGGAAAUGACAAGUGACGGUGCACGCAAGGUCCGUAGCACUCCGCCUGCCACGUAACAGG